rnacentral:lncRNA from 1 species
GUGUAGGUCCAGAGAUGAAGCGCAGGUCUGUGUGGGUCCAGAGAUGGUUAAAGUCCCGAAAGCGCAGGUUUGUGUGGGUCGAGAGAUGGUUAAAGUCCCGAAAGCGCAGGUCUGUGUAGGUCCAGAGAUGAAGCGCAGGUCUGUGUGGGUCCAGAGAUGGGUUAAAGUCCUGAAAGCGCAGGUCUGUGUAGGUCCAGAGAUGAAGCGCAGGUCUGUGUGGGUCCAGAGAUGGUUAAAGUCCCGAAAGCGCAGGUUUGUGUGGGUCGAGAGAUGGUUAAAGUCCCGAAAGCGCAGGUCUGUGUAGGUCCAGAGAUGGGUUAAAGUCCUGAAAGCGCAGGUCUGUAUAGGUCCAGAGAUGGUUAAAGUCCCGAAAGCAGGCAGGGGAGGUUCAUUCACGUCUCAUUCAAGAGCUUCGACUGUUUGGAAGAGGAAUUCCCAAGUUACGUUCGUCUGGACCGAAGCCAGUUCGAUCACCUGCUCCAGAUGGUUGGAGCCAGGAUCGCCCGGAUGGAUACCAACUACCGGGAGUCCAUCAGCCCAGUCGAACGCCUGGCGGUUUGUCUCCGGUAAAAUACAUUUUUAAAGCCUUUGAUACCAUAAUUUAUAUUUAAUAUAUUGUUGUUUUAAUGUGCAUCCUAGCUAGCUAAAGAGUUCUUUAGUUAAUUGUCCCUAUUUGACAUCAGAUGUACUUUUACAGAAUGUUCAUUAGGACUAUAACUUUUUCCCAAAGUUGGUUUAUAAUCCUUUUUUUAAUUAUGCAAUGUUACCCAAAUGAAAAGAAAGUUGGGGUGCCUUCUGCUCUGAUGAAG